UUGAACGCUGGCGGCAUGCCUUACCCCUGCAAGUCGAACGGUAACAGGUCUUCGGAUGCUGACGAGUGGCGAACGGGUGAGUAAUACAUCGGAACGUGCCCAGACGUGGGGGAUAACGAGGCGAAAGCUUUGCUAAUACCGCAUACGAUCUAAGGAUGAAAGCAGGGGACCGCCAGGCCUUGUGCGUUUGGAGCGGCCGAUGGCAGAUUAGGUAGUUGGUGGGAUAAAAGCUUACCAAGCCGACGAUCUGUAGCUGGUCUGAGAGGACGACCAGCCACACUGGGACUGAGACACGGCCCAGACUCCUACGGGAGGCAGCAGUGGGGAAUUUUGGACAAUGGGCGAAAGCCUGAUCCAGCAAUGCCGCGUGCAGGAUGAAGGCCUUCGGGUUGUAAACUGCUUUUGUACGGAACGAAAAGGCUCUGGCUAAUACCUGGGGCACAUGACGGUACCGUAAGAAUAAGCACCGGCUAACUACGUG
rnacentral:rRNA from 1 species